CUGAUCUAACAGCUCGGCAACUUCUCGGCGGCAACAGGCUCCAUGACGGCCACCAGACGCUGCCCUGUGCGGCGACAGCAGCACUUUAAAAGGCGGCCAGCCGCCCUCUUUGCGAGGUUCCUUAUCCCCGAAACCAGUCGGGAGCCGCCUCCCCGAGUGCCACCCUACGGCGGGCCCCAAACCCAGGGCUGCCCAAAGGCCGAGAGCGGGCGGCGCCCAGCGCAGCCCUCCCUUCGGCGGUGGUGGCGAGGGCGGGCCUGCAUCCGGAAGGGGAGCCGGCGCCGCCGCCCGCCUGACUUCCCCGGCGAGUAGGGACGCAGGCAGGCGGGCGCCAUGCUGCAGUUCUUGCUUGGUUUUACUCUUGGCAACGUGGUUGGGAUGUAUCUGGCUCAGAACUAUGAUAUUCCUAACAUUGCAAAGAAGCUUGAAGAUUUUAAGAAAGAUGUGGAAGCCAAGAAGAAACCUCCCAGUGACAAGUCCUAACAGAGCAAUAUUACCCAGGUCACUUCUGUGCACAUAUCAAGGAUGCAAUUUACCUAUCAGGCAACAAAGAUCACGUAAAGGGUUGGCAUGGGAGGCUACUCCCCUUCCUGUCUCCUAGAACUGGACUGUCCUUUUGAAAAGAGUAGCCUUGAACUUUUCCUGAGACUGAGUUUCAAGGGUUUCAGAAUCUGGAUUACCAGGUGAUAUGUGACUGGAUAAGAUCAUUUGGUUUUUUUGUUCUUGCUUUUCCUAAUAUUUUGUAACCCAUUUUUACCUGAUCCAGCUGGAGUCCUGUUAGUCUUGUUACUUUGUGUACCUCACACUUUGUAGUGCCCUAGUUCUUGGAACAUUGCAAGAGAAAUUAAAUACAUUAUGAAGUAACUUUCAGGGUUUCUUGACAUUUGUUGUGAGCAGCAGUAAUUCACUGUUGUUAAGAUCUGCAUUCUAUUGGAGAUGGGAAGGUUCAUUUGUCAAAAUUUAACCUGGGGUGGGGGGUGGAAGCUCCUGCUUUUUCCUGCUUUUUUUUAGUGUUAAAUGAUCACAUCCAGCAGUGUCUUUGCACCAACACGACUGAUUUGAAAAAAUCCAAAAGACCAUGGAAUUUAACCUACACUUUAAAUUCAUUGCUUCAAGAAUACCUGGGAGCAAGUUUCUCGCUUAACAUGGGUACUGUGAACUUCUGCAAGUUCAAAAUGCCUAUGUGGGUAGCUGGAAUUGCCAGGUAAAAUAUGCAGUUUUAGAUGAAUCACUCCAGAUGUGUUUCACUGGGGCUAAGAAGAAGAGAAGGACUACCUCCUCCCUCAACCUGUGGAGGAUGCUCUGCCUAAUGCAGCUCAGGAUGCUGUUGGCCUUCUUUGCCUCAAAGGGCACACUGCUGACUCAUAUUCAAGUUGUCUACCAGGACCCCCAGGUCCUUUUCUACAAAGUUGCUUUCCAGCUAGUCAGCUCCAGCUUGUACUGGUGUGUGGGAUUACUCCUCCUCAAAUAUGGGACUUUGCAUUCUCUGGCCUAUGAAUGUCCUUCUGAAUGACAGCAUGGCCAUGUUGUGCACCAGCCACUCCUCCCAGUUUUGUACUGUAUACAGACUUGCCAGAAGUGCACUCUGCUCUGUUGUGGAGGCCAUUAAUAAAUAUGCCAGUGUCC
rnacentral:lncRNA from 14 species